UUUCACACCAGAUGCUCCCUUUU
rnacentral:miRNA from 1 species